UUUUUUAGUGCAAACCUUGCUUUCCUAAAUACUCCAGACACAAUAGUCCAACGGAUUGGUAUCCGGUGAUUUUGGUGGCCAUUCGAGGAGGAACCUCAUUUUAUAACCAUUCUUGGGUGGCGCGUGCUGAGUGCGAUGCUGCUGAGUCCUGUUGGAAUGCCCAAAACCUGCGGCCAUAAUGUUUGGGUGCCCAAGGCUUUAAUACACCCUCCAGAAUAUUUUCGCAAUACUAUUCGGCAUUUAUUCUGAUGCCACGGUCGAUUAAUACGAUCGGAGGGCGACCAUUGGCUGUUAUGGUGGCCCACACUAUCACCAUGGCCGGCGCUUGAGUUCUGGUGGCCAACCGAAGCUGCAUAUUUUCAGCUGACCUCUUUGGCAAGUAAACACGAUAAUGUUGUUUGUUUACUAACAACUGGACUACGAAUGUUUUCUCCUCGGAAGAAACCUAAAUUCGCAGUUCACCACUUUCGGCCAAGUGAAGCAGUUCUUUUGAGUCUAUUUUCUUUCUGUUGCGAUGUAAGUUCUCUAACUUUUUCGAAUUUCAAUGGCUUUACCACGAGAUCAUUUUUCAAUAUUUGCCGAAUGGAAUAUUGCGAUAUGGUUCAGCUUACGAGUCAUUUUUCGGCCACUGCGACGCGGGUUUCAAUCAAGUCGCUUCUUUACUUUUCGAACCAUUUCUGCUGAUGUUGCUGUUGUCUUCCGUCCACUUCCUUGUAGUCGGGCUACGCGCUACCACUAUCACGGCAACGAGCGAUGGUACGAGACACAAACGAUUUAUUCACAUUUAAAUGCUGGAGUGCUCUAACGAUAGCCUCUAGAGGUUUUCCAACCAAAUAGAAAGAAAUCAGACUAUCACGCUUGAAUUCCAUCACGAACAACUUUUUUCUGGAAAAUUCUCACCAAAAUGCUUUUGUAUGUUUUUAAACAAUAUAAUAAGCUAUCACUGGAAUAAUUUUAACAGCUGUCGGACGAGUGGCUUAGAAAUGACAGCAGUCUGAAGUUGGUGGCAGUUUUUUCAUCUCACCCUGUAUAUGU